rnacentral:tmRNA from 1 species
GGGGACGUUUUGGAUUAGACAGGAUGUUUUGGUGGUAAUAUGCAGCGGGUCGGAGCGCUGUUCUCCGUCAUCAACGAGCAAAACAAAUUAAGUGCUAACAAUGUAAGAAAAGUAGACUUCGCUGGUGCUUACGCAUUGGCUGCUUAGUCUAUAUUAGCCACUCAUAGAGCCCAGCUUGCCGGUUUUAUGGGUCCAUUAUGCAAGCGGCAGUGUAUUGAUGCAAAGUAGAUACAUCAAGACAACUUUGCAAGGUUUAGAGUUUCCUUUAAAUAAAACCUAGGGCUGAUUCGUAUGGUUUAGACAUUUCCCUGAAUCAGUUGAGCAAAAAAUUGCCUACACUCGUAGAAGUAUAUUGUCAUCCGUUUUGGACGUGGGUUCGACUCCCACCGUCUCCACCA